ACCUAAUUUAACUGUCAAUUAUUAAAAAAUUUUAAAUUUAUAUUUUAAUUUUUUUAUUUUAAAUUAUUCGCGAAUAAUUAACGUUAUUAAAAAUCACCGCACUCAGAUAAUAAUAUGUAUAAUUUUAAUUCACAUAGACGUCACAUUGAUAACACGUAAUAUUCACGUUAAGCCCUCUAAAAAAUGAGGCACAUCUUUCCCAUCUCUGUAGGACCAAGCUUCUCCGACCCUCUAUCAUCUGCUUCUUUAUAUAAAUACUAUAUAACAAAAAUGGAAAGCAAGAACAAAAAAAAAACAGUUAAUUUAAGGAUUGGAGAAGAUUGAGGAGGAUCGGGGAGACUUGAUCACAAAGGAUACAGAAAAGGAGCUUCGUUUUUUCGAGUGAGUUCAUAUAGAUAUUGACAUGUAAGUAAAUUCAAAUUAUACACAUUAUCGUGUUGACUUUCAUAGGUAAUUAUAAGCAGUAUUUAUGAUAUUUUUAAUUUUUUAUUUUAAUAAAGUGGAAUAAUUUUCUCGUACUGGUGCUAAUUAAUUUAAUUAUAAAAUUUGGAACAGAAACAUUUAAAUUGAAUUCCUAAGUUAUGUAUGUAAAUUUACGGUGGUCUAACUUGAAAAAUUACCUUAACUGGGUUGAAGUUUAUUUACUAUAAGAUCUUGUAAAAGUAUGUAAGUCAGUCAAUUAAUUGUUCUCAGGCUGGCAGUUUUGGUACAAUAAUUUCGAUCCGUGAUGUAUAAAAAAUUUAAAAUAAUAUAAAAAGAAAUGAAACUUGGUAUUACUAAGUUUUAAAAAAAUUAACAUAUAUAUAUAUCAUAUAACACUAACUCUAUGUUUACUUUAUCUAUAAAAGUGGAUCUUAUAAGUUAUAUUAAUUAGUACUGCAUAAUAUUUAAGGCUAUGUUUGGAAGAAAUGAAAAUAAUUUUUCUGAGUUAAUUUAAGGAACAGAGGAGAGGCAUGAGAAUCAUAUAUAUAUAAUGAAUAAAGUUUUCUUAUAGUCUAAAUUUCUUCAUCUUUCAAUAAAAAUUUUAAAAAAGUUUUGAAUGAGUUGUAAAAUAAUAAUAAUACCUUGCAUUCUGGAUAGAUGCUUCCUCACUUUUCCUUCACAGCCUCUGCAGUGCAGUGAGACCCUCAACACCACAACCUGCAAUUAACAAAAUUCGAUCAUUGAAAACUUUUUUUUCUUCAAAUAAUUUCUAAUCCAUCUGAUCAAUAUAUAUUUUCUCUUGUUUCGAACCGAAGUUUUACAUAUAAGAGUAGGAGAGAGAGAAGUAACCUGGUCUGAGGAAGAAGAAGAAGAAGAAGAAGAGGGUUUUGAAUUAGCCAUAUCAUUGUU
rnacentral:lncRNA from 1 species